AAAGUGAGCUCUUUCCUGGUUCAAGCGAGAGACUGGAUUGCCUUAUCAGUUGUUCUUGCACCGCCGCACAUUAUUCAGAUAAAAUUUGCUAUUCGGUUCACCAGGAACCAGGUCACUUGUAUCUCGUGGUUGGGCAAGUGUGGGUGCAAAAUCUCUUCUUCCCCAUACUCUUGGACAGAGCUUCACGCUGAGCCUACGCACACGUUUCAUGCAGAUCGCGCCGAAGCCACAUCACUAUAUCGCCUUGUGUGUCGGGACAAGAGGCCGUCGCGCUCCAUGGCGGACUGGUUUUCUGAGGAGGCUGGAACAAACUUGAUGCGUUGCAGCGAGGAUUACAUUUUCCUGCUCAUGACCUUCAGGACUGAAAAGGAAAAGAGAAACCUCACAGCAGCAGCAGCAGCAGCACUUACUUCACAGUGUUCUCACACAGCUAGGCCCAUGUGCUUCGCGUGGACCAACGAGUUCCCAGGUUCACAUUCCGAGCAAACACCGUACAAUCAGAUUUCUCUGAUUAGUUUCUCUGAGCUAUCAGCAAGUCCGGGGAUGCAAAGACAUUUUUCACAUACUCCCAAGAUAGCGCACACUGCACUGCAAGGAGCGCCUCAUUAGUGAGCGAGUUUAUUCAACGAUAGCAAUCGGUUUACUAAGACUAUUCACAACUGGAAGAGGGAUGUAUCUUCUGUUGCUGCUUCUUCGAAGGUUUUCUCCCACACAUAAAUCCUCGAAACCCCCCCCCCCCCCCCCCCAGCUUGUCACUUUUACACUCGCACGAAUCAAACAAACAAAAAGAUGUUCACCAGAAUCGCCCUCGGUAGAGCGCAAAAACCUCUGCCAGCGCCAAGCAAUUGCACACACGAUUGUCUAGUUCUUAUAGUAGAAUUAUAAGAGGAAAAAAAGGAAAUAAUCAAUUUGUCAUAAGAACAUAGUUAAAGAAAGUGAAGAGAAAGGGGGGGGUCAGCUUUUAAUUCUUCCCAGCCCCAGGCCCAAUCCCUCCACCAAGUCUGUAAUUCUGCUUGCCAAUAAACCAACAAACAAACAAAAAAAAAACUAAUAAAAACACAACAUUCUUCACAGAGGUCAUUAGCGAGCCUCAGAGGUGAGGCAGGAUGUUUGUGUCGCAUCCAGGCUUCAUGCUAAGCUAACCAGCUGCAGGAUGCGGCUUUAAAAUUAUUAUCGCACAAACGUGGCAAUUGUAUCCGUCAAACUCUCUGCAGUGAAACAAAGUUUCAAAGUUCUGAAUCCUUUAAACGGCAGGAGAGGCUUCUAAUUUUUGGGACUGACUUCCUUCAUCCCUUGGCACGAAGGUGUCCAAAUUGAAUUGAGGGAAGAGGUCGGAGGCAUGCGUAGGUUGUAAAAUUUCAAUUUUAUGUAAGGAUGAACAGGAUGUAUGAGGAGGGAGAGAGAGAGAGACAUGCAAACAAAGGUCUGCUUCUGGAAUUGAAUCAGGGACUUUAAUGAUAUGCGGCAUGUUUCUUAACCAUUAGGUGCCAUGGAGCCCUGAAAGACCUUGGAGGCAAAUGUGUUGUGCGUUAAUGCAACAACUGACUUGAACAUGUGCAUAUCCAAUUUUGCCAUCAAACUCCAGCAUCACUUAUUACAUGAGUUAUUUUGACUUUGCCUUUAAAAAGACAAUAGAAUUUCUGAACCUGAUCUCCUUUCUCUCCUGCACCUGUUAAAGAGCCAUCUAGUCCCCCUUGCGCUGCUGCAAAGAAGAAUGAAUUAUUGUGCUACACUGAACGACUGAUUACUAAGUUAAUAAUAAACGAGGAAGUUUGAUUUCAAGGACAAAGCAACACUGCAGAGUGACAGACUCUUAAAAAGUAGCGUCCCCCGGGGAUCGGAAUCAGUGUUAAGCAGGAGAACAGGUGCACUCACCCUUGAA